rnacentral:rRNA from 1 species
UAUCUCUGUAGAGUCUGCAUAUCAAUAAGCGGAGGAAAAGAAACUAACUAGGAUUCCCUCAGUAACGGCGAGUGAAGCGGGAAGAGCUCAAAUUUGAAAUCUUCAAGGGUUUACCUUUACGAAUUGUAGUUUAAAGAAGUGUUUUCUGUUGGAGUCUUCGGUAAAAGUUCUUUGGAAAUAGGACAUCAUAGAGGGUGAGAAUCCCGUAUUUGACCAUUAUUUCCAGCUGUGUGAUACACUUUCAAAGAGUCGGAUUGUUUGGGAAUGCAGUCCAAAAUGGGUGGUAAAUUUCAUCUAAAGCUAAAUACUGGCGAGAGACCGAUAGCGAACAAGUACCGUGAGGGAAAGAUGAAAAGAACUUUGAAAAGAGAGUUAAACAGUACGUGAAAUUGUCAAAAGGGAAGCGUUUGACACCAGUGUUGUUUUCUCGAAAAUCAAUUAAAAAAUGAUUGGAUUUUGUGUUGUAUUGACUUUAUCAGCUUUCUGCACUUUUUUCUUGUCUUUUUUAAUGCACUUUUCGUUUAACAAGUCAACAUCAAUUUCUUUUGUUGUAAAAGGGUCAUUGGAAGGUGGCUUUCUUUUCGGAGAAAGUGUUUAUAGCCUUUGGCCUCUGCAAUCGGAGAGAUUGAGGUCUGCAGCGUAGAUCCUUCGGGGUUAGAUACAUUUGUGCUAAGUUAUAGCCUUUCAUAGACAACUUGUUGACUAUGAUCAGUCAUGUAGCUUACUCGCUUAUGCUAUUUUACCUACGCUUAGGAUGUUGAGUAGCGACAUACGCAC